UAGGGAAUUUUCGUCAAUGGGCGCAAGCCUGAACGAGCGAUGCCGCGUGAGUGAAGAAGGCCUUCGGUCGUAAGCUCUGUUGCGGGGGAAAAAGGCAGCAGUCAGGAAAUGGGUGCUGACUGAUGGUGCCCCGCCAGAAAGUCACGGCUAACUACGUGCC
rnacentral:rRNA from 1 species